GAUGAACGCUGGCGGCGUGCCUAAUACAUGCAAGUCGAGCGAACGGACGAGAUGCUUGCUUCUCUGAUGUUAGCGGCGGACGGGUUAGUAACACGUGGAUAACCUACCUAUAAGACUGGGAUCACUUCGGGAACCCGUAGCUCAUACCGGAUAAUAUUUUGAACCGCAUGGUUCAAAAGUGAAAGACGGUCUUGCUGUCACUUAUAGAUGGAUCCGCGCUGCAUUAGCUAGUUGGUAAGGUAACGGCUUACCAAGGCAACGAUGCAUAGCCGACCUGAGAGGGUGAUCGGCCACACUGGAACUGAGACACGGUCCAGACUCCUACGGGAGGCAGCAGUAGGGAAUCUUCCGCAAUGGGCGAAAGCCUGACGGAGCAACGCCGCGUGAGUGAUGAAGGUCUUCGGAUCGUAAAAUGCUGUUAUUAGGAAAGAACAGAUGUGUAAGUAACUGUGCACAUCUUGACGGUACCUAAUCAGAAAGCCACGGCUAACUACGUG
rnacentral:rRNA from 1 species